rnacentral:rRNA from 1 species
AGAGAGAGACAUGCGUGCAUAUCAAUAAGCGGAGGAAAAGAAACUAACAAGGAUUCCCCUAGUAACGGCGAGUGAAGCGGGAAGAGCUCAAAUUUGAAAUCUUAAAGGGUUUCCCUUUACGAAUUGUAGUUUAAAGAAGUGUUUUCUGUUGAGGUUUUGGUAAAAGUUCUUUGGAAUAGGACAUCAUAGAGGGUGAGAAUCCCGUAUUUGACCUUUACUUUCAACUUUGUGAUACACUUUCAAAGAGUCGGAUUGUUUGGGAAUGCAGUCCAAAAUGGGUGGUAAAUUUCAUCUAAAGCUAAAUAUUGGCGAGAGACCGAUAGCGAACAAGUACCGUGAGGGAAAGAUGAAAAGAACUUUGAAAAGAGAGUUAAACAGUACGUGAAAUUGUCAAAAGGGAAGCGUUUGACACCAGUGUUGUUUUUCUGAAAAUCAAUUAAAGAACUGUUUAUGCUAAGCUGUUUAGACUUUAUCAGCUAUCUGUUUAGUUUUGAGCUUUUCUUUAAUGCACUUUUCCAGUUAACAAGUCAACAUCAAUUUCUUUUGCUGUAAAAAAGCUUGAGGAAGGUGGCUUGAGAUUCGUCUUAAGUGUUUAUAGCCUCUUGCCUAUGCAGUCGGAGAGAUUGAGGUCUGCAGCGUAGAUCCUUCGGGGCUAAAUGCAUUUGUGCUAAGUUAUAGCAUUUUAUAGACAACUUGUUGACUAUGAUUUGUCUUGUAGCUUACUCGCUUAUGUUAUUUUACCUACGCUUAGGAUGUUGACGCAUGAGAUAUACGC